UACGAAGGGGGCUAGCGUUGUUCGGAAUCACUGGGCGUAAAGCGCACGUAGGCGGAUUUUUAAGUCAGGGGUGAAAUCCCGGGGCUCAACCUCGGAACUGCCUUUGAUACUGGAGAUCUUGAGUCCGGAAGAGGUAAGUGGAACUGCGAGUGUAGAGGUGAAAUUCGUAGAUAUCCGCAAGAACACCAGUGGCGAAGGCGGCUUACUGGUCCGGAACUGACGCUGAGGUGCGAAAGCGUGGGGAGCAAACAGG
rnacentral:rRNA from 1 species